UCUAGAUAUUUCUGAUUUUGGCUAUAUCUUAAUUAUUUUAUUCUACUUAUAUUUAUUACUUUUGUAAAUGUAAAAGAUAAUCAAAAGCUCCUAUUCUUGAGAAACCUCUGGAUCUUCUCCGUCAAUACAAAUUUGGAACCCUAAUAUUCAAAUAGUUUUCCUUUUGCUUCAGCAAAAUUAAGGUCACAGCUUCCCUUACCCUUCUCACUUUUUCAAUUAAAACUACUAUCUAAGAUGAAACUGAUCCGCGUCAAUGGUUUCAAAUUUCUCGUCAAUUAUAGAGUCCAUGGUCCCCCAUACGAGAUAUAGCAUUCUCACUUUUUCUAGGUAUCUCUCUUUCGAUAUCUCUUUUUCUAUACACUUUCAAUUUGAAUUAGGGCUAAAAGAUUGUGGUAACUCUUCAUGUCAAUUUCAUUUUCAUAUAUAAAACAAUAAUUUUCUUAUUUUUCAUGUGUUCUUUUGCAAUGGAAUAAGGUUAAAGCACAAUAUACAUUCCAUAGUUAGAUAGAAGAAUGGUGCGACAAUUUUGAAGAAUCUACUACAAGUUCUUAGCAGAGUAAGACUCCAGGAGACACUUAACUGCUAAUGCUUCAAGAAAUAGUGUUAAAUGGUUUCUCAACAGUUGAUUGUUCAAAGGAUGCUAGAAGAACCAAUCCUUGAAGAAAGUAUAUAGAGUAGAUAAUAGAGACUGAUAUCUUUAUGAACAAGAGAUCCAUUCUUAUUCUUUUAGUUAUUUAAAAAGGUCCCCUUUCUAAAUGUCGCAGUUCCUUCUUUUUGUACAAAUAUAAUAUUGUAAAAGUAAGAUUUGUAUGUCUGACUUUCUGUACUGGUAAUUCUUUAUUUUUUGUAAUAAAUUAUGAAAUCCUAUAUAUGAAUAUUGAUUAUUUGUAUGUGUUAAGAUAUAUUUAUAUAUUGGUGUGUGUGCGC